rnacentral:misc_RNA from 1 species
GACUGUGAAGACGGAGCUCCUUUAACGGCAAUGGCAAAAAACCACUUUGAUAUUGAUAGUCAAAUGAUCUUUACCAGUAUUAAUGUUUUAUCGUUAAGAAACAGAGCUGGAUUACUAACACUUCAUCGCCAAAAUCGGCGAUUCUACUUACCUGCUUUCAAACAGAAAUUGCCGACUCUCUUCCUCUGCAUCUUUAUCUCUAGCCUUUCCAUUUCCUGAAUCCAGGUUGGGGGUUCAGAGUUUCCGACAUCCUAAACUUCCGGUCCAUACACACUUCCUUUAUCUUUCUCCCGUUUUUCUUCUCUCCUCCAAAACCAUCUACACUCCUCCAAUGACGCAGCCUCCGCCGCCUAAUCGUCAUCGUUCUGGUUCCGACCGCCGAAUCAUCGAUAACAAUGGCCCUGACCUUCGAGUUUA